rnacentral:tRNA from 4 species
GGGGUAAUCGGCUAGCUUGGUUUAGGCUUCAAGCUUGGGGUGCUUGCGACCUGGGUUCAAAUCCCAGUUAUCCCA